CCCGCCGCGCGGUGGCUGCUGGGUGCCGCAAGCCUUCCCUUUCCUCGCCUCUCGUUUCCCCCCUCCCAUCCCGUUUCCUCGGCCGCUCCGCUCCCUGGCGUGACUCGGCACUGAGAGCCCCGGGAGAAGACGCCACGGUCGCCACCUCCUGUGUCCAGGCCUCGGCCUUCCUGAGUCUACCCCCGUCCCCUCCCGGGUCGUCUUCUCCUUCAGUUUUGAAACCGGUGGCGUCGCGGCCACCUUGCCAGGCUCUCUGAGAAUGGUAGGUGUAAAGCCGGUCGGGAGUGACCCGGAUUUCCAGCCGGAGCUGAGCGGCGCGGGCUCCAGACUCGCUGUGGUCAAAUUCACCAUGCGAGGGUGUGGACCAUGUUUAAGGAUUGCCCCAGCAUUCAGUUCUAUGAGUAAUAAGUAUCCACAAGCAGUUUUCUUGGAAGUAGAUGUACAUCAGUGUCAGGGAACUGCUGCCACCAACAACAUAUCAGCGACACCUACAUUUUUGUUUUUCCGAAACAAAGUGAGAAUUGAUCAGUAUCAAGGAGCAGAUGCCGUGGGAUUAGAAGAAAAAAUCAAGCAGCACUUAGAAAACGACCCUGGAAGCAAUGAGGACACAGAUAUUCCAAAAGGCUAUAUGGAUUUAAUGCCUUUUAUUAACAAAGCUGGCUGUGAAUGUCUUAAUGAAAGUGACGAGCAUGGAUUUGACAACUGUUUACGAAAAGACAUGACCUUCCUGGAAUCUGAUUGUGAUGAACAGCUACUUAUUACUGUGGCAUUCAAUCAGCCUGUUAAGCUUUACUCAAUGAAAUUUCAAGGGCCAGAUAAUGGUCAGGGUCCUAAAUAUGUAAAAAUUUUUAUCAAUCUACCCCGAUCUAUGGAUUUUGAAGAGGCAGAAAGAAGCGAACCAACUCAAGCUCUGGAACUAACAGAGGAUGAUAUUAAAGAAGAUGGUAUUGUUCCACUUCGUUAUGUUAAGUUUCAGAAUGUUAACAGUGUAACUAUAUUUGUUCAGUCCAAUCAAGGUGAAGAAGAAACAACAAGAAUUUCAUAUUUUACUUUUAUUGGGACUCCGGUCCAGGCAACAAAUAUGAAUGACUUCAAACGACUUUUUUAAUCCAACUCAAAUGAACUAAAAACAGAAGAUUUUUUAAAAUGAAGUAAUAUAAAGAUUGACCUUAUCUCACUCCACUCCCCUCCUUGCUUCUCUGCUCAUCUUGCACCUGUCUGCUCUCACCCUUCCCAUGUUCUCGCCAUUGUUGGGGCAAGAUUUCUACAGCUUCUAUCAUCUGGAUCAGCCUUCUUAUUACCUAGAUUUCCUCAACCAUUUCUUCAGAUCUCAUUCUAGUCAUGUUUUUCAUUUAGCCUUUUAUUUUGUUUUGCUUCUUGCAACUAGGUGCUCCAUUGGCAAUGGUAAUUUUAUUGCCAUACCAGGUUCCUCACCUGACUUUUUUUUUUUUUUUAACUUUCUCCUGUCUCAUAUUUAAUUUUGUACUGCAUUUUGAGAAAUAAUAUUGCAAAAAAACCUUACAUUGUUGUAAAUGUUUUUAGAUUUAUCUGGUUGUUAGAUGAUGUUUUAAUCUGAUCUCAAGUUUAAAUUUUAUUUUUUAGAAAUUAUACAAGCAUUUUGAAAAUCAGCUUCAUCAGGUUCUUUUAUAUUAGUACUAGUGUAACAUAUUGAUUAGGCUGAAGUUGAGAGAUUUGUUUUCUUUUCUUAUUGAAACUGUAGCCCCAAAAUCUUUUUCCUGAUUAAUUGUAGGCAUGUCCCCUGCUUUGCCAACCCAAGUGAGUUCAAGGCCAGUUGAAAGACUUAUGGACUGAAUGUUAGGCUGGGUUAAAAUAUUAACAUAGAAGAUUAAUGGACUCUUUACCGAAUAAAUAUUUUUGACACCUAACUUUGAUGUACCAAAAUUUUUGUCUGUCUAAGGUGUAAUAUAAAGACUUUAAAAUGAAUAAAAAGAACUUUACUUUUGGGGUGAGAAACUCCAUAUGGGAAUGCUGAAUUUCUUCUUUUUUACAGAGAAUACACAUUGGCAAGUUGAGAGUUAUCAACCUGUGAAACAGUAGUUGGCAAAAAAGGAGAAAGCCACUGAGGUACAAAAGACACUGGAAGACCGUAUUGCAAUCAGAUCUACAGCUCCUGGAUAAUUGCUUGAUUCUCGCCAGAGACUUUUCAAUAUUUCAUUCAUUGCCAUUACCAAUAAAUCAUUGCUUUUGUUCGGAUGGUAUCACUAGUGUUUCUAUUGUAAUCUUGAUACAUGCAGUUGUAAAUAAAAGUAAUAACUACUUUUGCCAAGCUUAAUUUUUGUCAUUCUAAAGUAAGUGUUUUCCCUUUAUAUAUAUUUGAAAAUUGGCCACCUUCUGAUUAUAGUAGAGACUUAAGUAUCUGGUCACAUAUUGAUCAAAAGCCAGUUUCUGAACUCUUUAGAGGAGAACUAUUCUGGGGAGUUAAGGAGUGCAUGCGCGUUCCUGUGCACACACACAAAGCAAGUAGUUUUGUUAAGUGGACUUGGAACGGAUCCAUGUUCAGAUGAGUACAACUCGUGUGUUUGUUAGACAGCAUUUGGAUAUCUGGGCUGUAUAAAUUACUCAAAUUAUAAAUGAUCAGAAAUAAGUUUAUUAAGAUUUAACUGUUCUCACCUAAAAUUGUUAGUUAAUGGGACCACCAAUUUUAAACCCUUCUGGAUAAACUUUUAGAAUUUGAUUCAGCUAUUUUCUGUACUAAUAAAGGUAUGUUGAAAUCCGACAGGGAAAAACAUAGUGCUCAGAAUUCCUGAAGCAAUAGGAAUUGGUAUCUUUCAAUCAAGUGUUUAUUAUUUUAAUUACCAGAAGAUACAGUGUAAAUAUACAGAGAACAUGAUUUAAUGUUGAAAAUGAAUUGGCCAAAUGUGUUUUAGAGAUCUUUCAUAAAAGGCUGGCAAAACAAAGCAUCUGUUCUUUAUUUUUUAAAUCUUAAAACUGUAAUCUAGAAAGUAUUGAUGAAUUUGAUUUUUUAAUUUUUCUGUUUUUAAAAUUAAUUUUAAAUUUCAGUGUUUUAAAAAUUCAGUGUUUGACAAGAUAACAUAAGACUUAAUUUUGAUUCAGUUAAUUAAAUAAUUUGAGGGCAUAUUUGUCUAGGACUAUAGUCAAGAUACUAAUUAGCCUUUGAGACACCAACGUAUUUAUACAUGUUUCUGAAAAAAAUCAUGCACAGUUUUUGUGUUAAAAUCGUCACUUUCUGAAACCCCCUGUGUCAUUACAUAAUGUUUAGUUCCUUUGUAUGUAAGCAUAUUAACUGGUCUAUGGUGAUGUCUGUGUAUCUUAUGUAUUUCAUGGUUAUGUUGCCUUGGGUCAGGUGGAAGCAGAAGGUCAAGAAAUAAAAUAAAAGUUUAUAACACUCCUUAA